rnacentral:rRNA from 1 species
AUGCCAGACUCCUACGGGAGGCAGCAGUGAGGAAUAUUGGUCAAUGGGCGCGAGCCUGAACCAGCCAAGUCGCGUGAGGGAAGACGGUCCUAUGGAUUGUAAACCUCUUUUGCCGGGGAGCAACGGGCGUCACGUGUGGCGCCACUGAGAGUACCCGGAGAAAAAGCAUCGGCUAACUCCGUGCCAGCAGCCGCGGUAAUACGGAGGAUGCGAGCGUUAUCCGGAUUUAUUGGGUUUAAAGGGUGCGUAGGUGUUUCUUUAAGUAGGUGGUAAAAUGGGGGUACACAACCCCUUCCCGCCAUUGAAACUGGCGUUCUUGAGUGGAAGAGAAGUAUGCGGAAUGCGUGGUGUAGCGGUGAAAUGCAUAGAUAUCACGCAGAACCCCGAUUGCGAAGGCAGCAUGCCGGCUUCCGACUGACGCUGAAGCACGAAAGCGUGGGGAUCGAACAGGAUUAGAUACCCCAGUA